UCUAAAUUAACUUUUUUUUGCUGAUGAACUGUAUAAAUGAGUGUCUAAUAGUGUUUUAAAUGUGUGUAUUCAUUAUUUUAGCAUUUUGGUGCAUUUUCUUAAAAAAUUAAAAAUUCUGCCUAAAUACCACAGUAUAGCUCCACCUUCAGCUUAAAACAUAGAAUUUGACUCAUUUUGAAUAAAUUUUAGCCAAUGGCUAAAGAGUAAGAUACUACGUAAUCCAGUAGAGUACUACGUAGCAGCUCUGUGUCAACGUUAUAAAAGCAUCGGGAGUCUCGGCCACGCCUUGUGGCGAGUUGGGAGUUGGAUUUGCAUGAGAGUGUAGGAGGCUAGCCGUAGUUCAGCAUUAGCAUAUAGCAUUAGCAUAUCCUAGUCUUUAGCAUAGCUUUUAGUGUUAUACAUACUUAUUUAGUGUUAGCUUGGCUGUUGGAUAUUGUAGUUUAGUUACUGUUUGGCUGUUAGUGUAAUUAGGAAAGUAGUUCGGGUUUAGUGCUCCAUAUCGUGUUAGCAUGGUGAGAUGGUGUAGUGUAGUAUGGUUGCGGAGCUCUGUCGGGUUGCACUCCUUUCCGCUGGACUUAGAAAUUAGGCGCCAGUGGUUGCGUGUCUGGAAAAGAUUCAGCUCCCGCCUGGUGCUGUAGUUUGCAACCAGCAUUUUACCCGCGAUUCUGCACGUCUCCGUUCCAAGAGGGAGGCUGUGCCCACCGUGGCUCUUCCGCGAUUUAGAUACAGCCCACCGACUCUGCUCCCCCACCAUGACGGGCUACAGUCUGAGGCUAAAUCUACCCAAGACACUGGCUGUCAGACUGAUUUAGUAAUCUGCAAGAAUGCACUUGUCCAGGCUGACGUGGUGUUACCCGUAGCAAAGAGCUCACAGCCUCAGUGUCUUGUGACACAGGGACCAUGACAGAAAUUCAUCUUCCAGAAGGUCCCAGAGCAUCCACACCUCCUGAAAAGACCACGGUGUGAGGUGUCUGCUGUUGAUUCCAGCUUCCACCUCAGUGACAGUGCAAGCUCAGUGAACUGUUCAAGGAGGCUACUGAUUCUGGCCCUGUGACACUUGGUGGUCACCACCAGGUGGUGACGUGUGAGCUGAUUCACCUGGACACUCAGCAAAAUAUGGACUCUACACCAUGAGGCAGGCACACGUUAAUAACUCUAUAAGAGCACAUAAGCCUGGCUGAUCACCUGAUAACUCCUGUCAUCUGGUUAUGACAGCAUGAGGAUGUCCUCACACACCUGUAACCUAUCAGCUCAUCUGGCAGAAUAGAGAGAGAAGAGACAACACCACAUCUCCUGUUCCUGGAAAGCCUUCAGCCAUCCUUCGAUGACUGAGAACCUCCAUCAGCUCUGUCUCCUGUCUGCCUACAAUUAUUAUAAUAAAUAUUGUGUUUGACAAGUU